AUGGUUUGAAGAUGGAUUACAUGACAGUUUUUCCAAAGCUUAAAACAGACAAAUGCAUGUUAAAAGAGACGCAAAGGAACAUAAUUUCCAGAGGCUCCAACAGCAGGAGCAUGCUAAAGUUGUUGAUAAAAGCAAGAGGGCUUAGGAGUUCUCUAGCUUCAUAAAGUUUCAAGAGAAAGAGAUGAAAACGUUUAUGGAGGAGAGGGAGAAGAAGAUGGCAGAGAUGAACAAGAGAUAUUUCGAGGAGAUGCUUGAUCUAGAGAGGGAAUUUGAUGUCUUUGGAGCUGUUCAUGAUCAAGAACGGCUUAACGAUGCAGAUGACGCAGACUACUAGCUUUCAUUGGUUAUAAGCAGAACAACAGUAGCCGAAAAGCAGAGGGAUACAACUUCAUAUCGACAGGUCGAGACAUUGAAGCAGAAGCUAAUGAAACUGAUAAAAGAGAAUAAUUUCCUUAAACGAAAACUAUCUUCUUCAUAGAAGACCCAAAAACACAUACUGCUCGGUAAAACAAAAACUUGAUAGUCAAACAAGAAACAUAGCUGCCUGGUUUAAGUUUUUAAUUUUCAAUAUAAAUUUAUAUCUUUUAAUGCUAUGUGAAUUUUUAUUCCAUAGUUUAUUUUCUAUUGGUUGAGUUGUGAUUUGGUAGAUAGUUAAUGUGCUUUAUUUUCUAAAUCUUAAAAAAUAAUUC